rnacentral:lncRNA from 1 species
GGAAUACAAUCGAAUUUGAUUAUAAUUUGGAAUCAUUUUCAUCAGAGAGCAUUAAAACAUGAAAGUUAUUUUGAUAACUAUCCUAAGUUUAAGCUUAAUGCUGCUGCUACCAAAUCAGAGUUUGGCCAAUGAUGCGGAUAAAGACGAAAUGCAAUCAGUUUAUCGUAGGAAACCUUAUGAUGAUAGCUCGAGAGAUGGAAGAUCAGACACUAAUUUUAUCCGUUUUGGAAGAUCAAAAGAAUCAAAUGGAAUAAAAAAAUAAAUAAAUACUUCAUGAGAACACAUAUGGCUGGAAUUAAUUUUCCGAUUAAUUUUCUUAUAUAAAGAAUAAAUAAGCAUUUACAUUGCAACAGUGUAUUGAUUUUCUUUAGACAAUAUUAUAGUUUGUCUUUCAGAUUUGACAAUCAUAGUUUUCUAUCGGAUUUUUUCAAAUAUUUUGUCCUGUUUAAUAUUUUUUUAUGUUAUUGGUGUUAUCUACAGCCAUAAUAAAACAUUUUGUGGAUCGUGACGUGCAGUCGAAAAACAUUCCUACGCUUGUGUAAAUUUUGAAUAUCAGGGCCUGAUACCAGAAACAAUUUACAUCUCAUUAUUCCAGCACUCUAAAUGAUAUAUAGUUGGAUAUACAGUACGUCAGGAUGAUGGCCGGUAAACUAGGAACGAGCCUGAAUAAGCAGCGGCAGGAAUCGGAAUAUGAUACAGAACUCUCAAAAUAAUCGACAAACUAUUUUCUAUAAAAUAAAACAAUACGUAAAGUGACAACGUAAAGUGAAGUAUGAUUAUAAAAAUAUAUAUAUAAUCAUACUUCACUUUACGUCGUUAAUACGUUCCAAGA